rnacentral:lncRNA from 1 species
GUAAAUUCUAGUGGGCAAGAGGAAGAGAAGAGAAACUACAACAUCAUUAUCUUACUGCUGGAGGCAGCAGAUUACGGACCCCUGACUGUGAUGUGUCAAAUGCACUGUGUGACAACCAAGACCCUACACAUCUGGGGGGCACUUCAGGAUUCCUCCAGGCGGCAGUUGCUGGCCUAGACUCACUUCUUCAGGAGGGAGGUUCGCCCUGGAAAAGCUGAUUUGCAUUUCUGCUGGGAUCGAUGCCGUGGAGACUGAAUACAUUGAGGUCUCCAGGUGAAAGAAGAAAGCUUAACCUGGCUUCUGAAUUCCAAGAGCACACGGCAAAGUGGUAAGAAAACUAAGGUCUAUUUUUUCUUUCUUUUUGAGUACUUGAGUGACUCAGCAAAUAUGAUAUUGGGAGAUGUCAUUUCUGAUUGGUAUUGUGCUGUACAUGUAGCUGUCUUCUGGAAGUAGAGGCUGCUGGGAUCUUUCCUGGACUUGUAUAUCAGGGAGAAAGAAC